rnacentral:rRNA from 1 species
UAGCGGGACUGCACCGUAAGGUCGAGAGGAAGGUGGGGAUGACGUCAAAUCAGCACGGCCCUUAUGUCCAGGGCUACACACGUGUUACAAUGGCCGGUACAAAGGGCAGCUACACCGCGAGGUGAUGCUAAUCUCGAAAGCCGGUCUCAGUUCGGAUCGAAGUCUGCAACCCGACUUCGUGAAGUUGGAUUCGCUAGUAAUCGCGCAUCAGCAUGGCGCGGUGAAUACGUUCCCGGGCCUU